rnacentral:rRNA from 1 species
CCUACGGGUGGCAGCAGUGAGGAAUAUUGGUCAAUGGGCGAGAGCCUGAACCAGCCAAGUCGCGUGAGGGAGUACUGCCCUAUGGGUUGUAAACCUCUUUUGUCGGGGAGCAAAAGCCGGACGUGUCCGGCUGUGAGAGUACCCGCAGAAAAAGCAUCGGCUAACUCCGUGCCAGCAGCCGCGGUAAUACGGAGGAUGCGAUCGUUCUCCGGAUUUUUUGGGUUUAAAGGGUACGCAGGCGGAUUUUUAAGUCAGCGGUAAAAGCGUGGGGCUCAACCCCAUCCAGCCGUUGAAACUGGGGAUCUAGAGUGUGCGAGAGGUAUGCGGAAUGCGUGGUGUAGAGGUGAAAUGCAUAGAUAUCACGCAGAACCCCGAUUGCGAAGGCAGCAUACCGGUGCACAACUGACGCUCAGGCACGAAAGCGUGGGUAUCGAACAGGAUUAGAUACCCCGGUAGUC